rnacentral:tRNA from 1 species
GCCGCUUUAGCUCCAACAGGUAGAGCAGUUCCAUGGUAAGGAAAAGGUUGCUGGUUCGAAUCCAGUAAGCGGCACCA